GUUGUGGUUCCGGACACUGCAACAUGGGGUGGUGGGGGUGUGUUUGGGUCGAAACACACGAAUAUGAAGAAAAUGAAGAAAUCUACCAAGAUGAUGAUGAGCAGAUGGAAGGAGAGUCAAGAGGAGAAGGGAGGAAAUGGAGAGAUUCAGGAUGACGACGGAGAAAGAGAGGUGGAGAGCGAAAUGCCGUUAGUGCACCUCCAUCAAGAUCGACAUUCAGUCAGGUUGCAUGCUAAAAUGUCCGCCAUAGAGGAAGAGGAGGAGGAGGAGGAGGAGAAGAGGAGCGGUGAGGCUACGCAGGAGUCGCCAACGAUGGAGCGGCCCAGCCAAGCUGAGACGGAGAGGAAGCCUGUGGGACACCAUGCACGUUUUCAGAGCUCCUUCAGCUCUUUCAAGUUCAACUUCAGUUCCAUCAGCUUGGUGGACGAGAUUCUAACAGGAGAUGAGUGGUCACCAUUCCUGUCUAUAAGGGACAGUCCAGCCCCCUCACUGUCCGUUUUCCAAUCAGAGGCUGCUAGCCAACACGGUUAUGAUGAAGGCGACCAAUUAAAGACUGGACCAGAGUUGCGCCUUCCCAACGACGUUCAACAUAACCACGAGGACAUAGGCCUUUCUUUAUACGAGGCUGUCAGCUUCAGCCAAUCAAGUCCGAAUGAGAUUGUGGACAACCAAUCGGACAACAGACAACAGGAAGUAGACAACAACAAUGACACAGGAGCUGACGCCAUUGCUGUCAUCAAACCGAAGAUAUUAUUGGAAAAUGAUGCAGCGGAGGAGAGUGAGUUGGACCACUCCAGACCCAUAUCUAAGGACACCCAUGACACUGUUGAAUUAUGCAAGUCCCCCAUAAGGACCCAAUCAAAGGACCUUCUUGACUUCCUCUGUGUUGAGGAACAGAGACCUUCAAUGUAAGAUGCACUGCAAUCAAAGCCCCUGAAAUCAAAUUCCUCAAACCCUCUCCUCCUUCCACACUCUCUCCCACAUCACUCCCUUCUUCCUCCUCUCCUUCCUCCUCCCUCUCUUCCUCCUCCUCUCCCUCCUAUGUCUUUCCGUCCUCUUUCUACAACAUCCCUCCGUCUGCUGAAAAACAGGACCCUGUGACAUCACCAACACAGGACAACCUCUCUGUUAAGACCACUGAAAGCAGCAGAAAGCCAGGUUCAAGUCCCAAGCCGCCUCUGUCCAAAUUCAUGACAGUCCUGAAAGACAAAACCAAGAGGAAGCUUAAAAACUAGGUAUUGGUGAUCCAAUAGUAACCCAUAGCUCCUUUUCAUAGCCCCUACUUCUAAGCCCUAUCCACUACCUCUUUAGUGUUUACAGUUUUAGGUGUGUAAGCGAUAACACCGCAGAUGCACACAGUAAUGAAACAUGUAUGCCUAUCUUUGAUCAAAUGAUUAUCUUGCUAUAUUGAGUGUGUUACCAACACUUUUAGUCACUAAUAGAUUUUCUCUAACAUCAGUGUUAUCUGAAUGAGAUUCUGUAAGAUCUGAAUAAAUGUUGUUUUUAUUUAUUUACCCUUUUUCUCCCCAAUUUCGUGGUAUCCAAUUGGUAGUUACAGUCUUGUCUCAUCGCAGCAACUCCCACAUGGACUUGGGAGAGGAGAAGAUCAAGAGCUGUGCAUCCUCUGAAACACAACCCCAUCAAGCCGCACUGCUUUUCUUGACACAAUGCCCACUUAACCCGGUGUGUUUCCUCUGGUUUUGAACUUUUGCCUGUCCACGACCAUUCUCUUGCACCUUAAACUCCAACCAUCUGCCUCCUGUGUCUGCAUUUGGGUCUCGCCUUGUGUCAUGAUAAUGCAAAGCAAAAAAUAAGGAACAUUUGCACAAUGUGUUCUGAAAAAUAGCAAAUGUAUUCUCACCUCCUCCCUGUAAAAUGUUUUUAAUACAUCUACAGUAAUAGUGGAAUGAUAGUGUUUCACAAUAUUUAUUUAUUGAGGCACAUAAAAUUGCAUUUUAAUGGUGCACCCUUCUUACUGGUCAACAAAAGACGGACACCUGGUUCUUGUUGUCAAAUUGACUGGGGCCAGAAAAUCUAUUGUUGUCAAAUGGGCCGUGCGCUAAACGAUUGUGCCACUGCUGAUCUUGUCGGAGGCUGUGACACGUACAAUCGGUUAGUGCGCGGAGCCACUCAAAUUACCUCGAGCAACUCGCCCCUCCUUUGGCACAAUCCGAAGUGAUUUGUUUAACAAUCAGAUAAAACAUCAUGACUGGUUGUGUUCAUGGCUACAUUAAAAGGUAAUACAUUUGUAUAGUUCAUUAGAUGUCUGAACUAUAAAUCUAUGGAACGCCGUUUGGGUCUUUACGUGUCAAUUAAAGAUAAACAUCAAAUAACACUUUGACGUGUUAAAUAAGCUUUUAAUUUGACACAUCAAAUAACACAAUUAUAUUUGAUGAAUUUGCACGUGUAAGCCAAGCGCCACCGCUAUCAGUAUCACUGUCAAAGCUGUACAAAAAAAGUCAGCAGACGAGCACACACUGGCCACGAACGAUGUGUUUACAGUACCGCGAUGGUAAUAAGGCAUUAUUUGUUCGACCGCAACUUCUGGGGUAGCUUGCUAGCACCAAUACAACCAGUCUGAAAACAAUGACCAGUAGAAACUGCAGUCAUUUUCAUCAUCCUUAACAAUGACUUAGGAAUCCUUGUGAGUAAGUAUUAGCUACGUAGCCACUUGUUGUUCGCCUAUUGAAAUUGAACUUCAGUUCAUGGAAAUAAAUGGCUAGCCAGCUGCCAAACCUUGUUGCCCAAAGCUAACGUUAUAAGCAGCCAGCUAGCUUCACCUGGCUAGUGACGCUCGACUGGACGCUCGACUUUGAGUUUUAUAUUUCCAUGGAAAUACAUGGGUAGCCAUGAGAAAGACCCCCUGAUCCCAAUAGUGAUCGACUAUCGAGGAUCUCUUAUGGGGCGCAAUCGGGCGAUUUAGGCUUGUACACAAUCGCCCAACAUUCUCAUUCUCUCUCUCUCAUCCUC